UGGUCGUGAAUGGUUGAAAAAAAUUAAUUAUUUUUGGCGAACCCGGUUAUGGUAUACUCUGACACUAUACCCAGUGGAGGACAAGAAGUGAAUAAUACAAUGGCGUUUUGAAAUUGUCUGAGAACGUCUAUUCUUUCUCUAUAAAAGAUUGUGUUUAUCUACAUUUUUCAGAUUUUUUUUUUAGGGGUCCAAUAAAGAAUCCCAAGAAUAAAUACUCCAAGGCUAAUGGGUUCAGUCCAAUCUUAGGAUUUAUACGUUUUUGUGCUUUGUAUGUAUUCUUAGUCACCGCCUGCGUACUGUAAAUUACCUGUGCCAAGAAAAACACUCAGGAAUCCCAACCUGACUACACAGUAAAGAACCGAACUGUACACAAUGGUACUUGGCACAGAGAAAUUCUAACCACAGGGUAUAAAUCAACUGGCUUUGAUAGAGAGGAUAUUGAGCUUGGCCGUAGCAAAGCCCUUUUUCUUCUUCGGAGGAUGGAGACCACGUUCCUGGAGAAGAUCAUACUACAGUGGGGGAGGUGGCGGAUAUCGAGGACGUUCAUAUUCAGAUAUUGCUCGAGUUAUAAAUCCUAAUCCGUAUACGAAUCCUAGUGGUCCUUUUUGGACAUAUGGUUGAACCAGUUUGUUUGCUGAUUACAUCUUGGAAAGUGAUAUGUUUCAAAGUGAUAUUCUAUUUUAAGAAUAUUUUCGAAAAUUUGAUGGUUAUUAUUGUUCAAGUCAAAAAUUAAGAUAGUCAGUUGUAUCUCCGAAAUAAAGUGUUUUGUACAAUAAUCUACAA
rnacentral:lncRNA from 1 species